GAUGAACGCUGGCGGUAUGCCUAACACAUGCAAGUCGUACGAGAGUUUUUAACUCUAGUGGCGGACGGGUGAGUAACACGUGAGAAUUUGCCUUUAGGAGGGGGAUAACAAUUGGAAACGAAUGCUAAUACCCCAUAUGCUUUUGAGUGAAAUGGAUUUUAUCCGCCUAGAGAGAAGCUCGCGGCUGAUUAGCUUGUUGGUAAGGUAAGAGCUUACCAAGGCGACGAUCAGUAUCUGGUUUGAGAGGACGAUCAGACACACUGGAACUGAGACACGGUCCAGACUCCUACGGGAGGCAGCAGUGGGGAAUUUUCCGCAAUGGGCGAAAGCCUGACGGAGCAAUACCGCGUGAGGGAAGAAUGCCUAUGGGUUGUAAACCUCUUUUUCUAGGGUAGGAAUAAAAUGACGUGUACCUGAAGAAUAAGCAUCGGCUAACUCCGUG
rnacentral:rRNA from 1 species